rnacentral:misc_RNA from 1 species
CCACGGCACCCCAUCGAGCUUGUAAUUCUCCUCAACUCUUCCUCGGAGAGGGUAAAACUCCUCCUUUGUUUUGUUGGUCCUCGCGGAGAGAACCAAGGUGGGAGGUAGGUGAAAGCGCACGGGUCGGCGGCGCCGCCACUGUCACUGCUGCGCCUUCUCACAGGCGGCUCCCGCCCGUCUUCUAACAGCUGAGUCGCUCCCUCUCUCUCUGCCAUCUGGUCUCUGCUUGCUUUUCCAUGUCCUUUGUGUCGUUUCGAGGCAGUGGCUCCCAACGGUCGCCCUUUACUUUGCCUUCGUGCUUGUUGUGAGCUGUGUGCAGCGUGGCGGUGAGAAAGGGGUGAGGAAGGGGGCUGCACGGGGCACCUGCCUGGCGCCGUUUCUUUUGGAGACAUAGCGCUCGUUCUAAUGAUGCCUUAAAUACAGUCUAUUGCCUAAUCUGCCCACCCCCCCACUACACACACACAAAUCGCCGCUGUCCAUCUCUCACCACCGUCAUCAUCUGCGUCGUCACUUCAACUCGUGCUGGCCAUCGCUCUGUUUAGGCGGCGCCUCGUCUACACUUUUCCUUUUGCGUUCUCUCCCGUCAGCUGUUCGUUGUCUCUCUCUCUCUGGGUCCUUGGCCGUCUCUCUGCUGCCCCUGAUACCAG